UACGGAGGUGGCAAGCGUUGUUCGGAAUUACUGGGCGUAAAGGGCGCGUAGGCGGUUUGGCAAGUCAGAUGUGAAAGCCCCGAGCUUAACUCGGGAACUGCAUCUGAAACUGCUUUACUUGAGUUCUGGAUGGGGUAGUGGAAUUCCCAGUGUAGCGGUGAAAUGCGUAGAUAUUGGGAGGAACACCAGCGGCGAAGGCGGCUACCUGGACAGUGACUGACGCUGAGGCGCGAAAGCUAGGGGAGCGAACGGG
rnacentral:rRNA from 1 species